GUGGGGAAUAUUGGACAAUGGGGGGAACCCUGAUCCAGCCAUGCCGCGUGUGUGAAGAAGGCCUUUUGGUUGUAAAGUACUUUAAGCGAGGAGGAGGCUACCGAGAUUAAUACUCUUGGAUAGUGGACGUUACUCGCAGAAUAAGCACCGGCUAACUCUGUGCCAGCAGCCGCGGUAAUACAGAGGGUGCGAGCGUUAAUCGGAUUUACUGGGCGUAAAGCGUGCGUAGGCGGCUUUUUAAGUCGGAUGUGAAAUCCCCGAGCUUAACUUGGGAAUUGCAUUCGAUACUGGGAAGCUAGAGUAUGGGAGAGGAUGGUAGAAUUCCAGGUGUAGCGGUGAAAUGCGUAGAGAUCUGGAGGAAUACCGAUGGCGAAGGCAGCCAUCUGGCCUAAUACUGACGCUGAGGUACGAAAGCAUGGGGAGCAAACAGGAUUAGAAACCCUUGUAGUCC
rnacentral:rRNA from 1 species